rnacentral:rRNA from 1 species
UACGUAGGGCGCAAGCGUUGUCCGGAAUUAUUGGGCGUAAAGAGCUCGUAGGCGGUCUGUCGCGUCUGUUGUGAAAACUCGAGGCUCAACCUCGGGCUUGCAGUGGAUACGGGAAGACUAGAGUGCGGUAGGGGAGACUGGAAUUCCUGGUGUAGCGGUGGAAUGCGCAGAUAUCAGGAGGAACACCGAUGGCGAAGGCAGGUCUCUGGACCGCAACUGACGCUGAGGAGCGAAAGCAUGGGGAGCGAACAGG